GACGAACCGUCCCUAACGUUAUUCGGAUUCACUGGGCUUAAAGGGCGCGUAGACUGUUUACCAAGUCCGGGUGAAUACUUUCGGUCUUAACCGGAAAACGUAGCCUUGGAUACUGGUGAACUCGAGGGAGGUAGGGCGAUGUGGAACUUCCGGUGGAGCGGUGAAAUGCGUUGAUAUCGGAAGGAACGCCGGUGGCGAAAGCGACGUGCUGGCCCUCUUCUGACGCUGAGGCGCGAAAGCUA
rnacentral:rRNA from 1 species